rnacentral:lncRNA from 1 species
UCUGCAAGUUCGCAAGUUCAAGGGCCCAGAGGCACAGUAGCCCAGAAGCCUCAAGGACUUUCUACCAAAACUCACAGUACAGGAUUUCUCUAAACAUGCUGUGCAGGUCAUCCAGCAAUGGAGAAUAUAGAAAACUUCCAGAGAUAGAGAAGCCCUUCUGCUUCCAGCCCCCUGAUAAGGUAUAAGAGAGACAGAUUUUUAAUAAUG